GGGGCCUUAGCUCAGCUGGCAGAGCGCCUGCUUUGCAAGCAGGAUGUCAGGAGUUCGAAUCUCCUAGGCUCCACC
rnacentral:tRNA from 7 species